rnacentral:lncRNA from 1 species
UAGGACUCUAACCGAGCCGCACCACCUCUCUCCCACGAUGGUUCCUGGGUUUCUCUCCCGGCCUUCCUUUUCACUUGCCUUAGCUUGUUUUAGACGCCAACCAAACGAAAUAGCGUCUUUUCAACGCCAAAUUGCCCAACACUAUAAAAACCGUUCCCUUUACUCACAAAAUCUUAGAUCUCAGAUUUCAGAUAUCAAAUCUCAGAUCGUUUCUUACUCUCUUUGAAGAAAUUGUGUUGCGAUGGCUGAUUUUCGUCUUCAAGACCUUUGUCAACCUCAACUCACACAAAUCGCUGCUGAAAAUACCAAAGCAGUUGCAGAAGAAUACUUUAAGUUGGGAAAUAUCAACAAGGCCAUCCAAUAAGGAUUCGCAGCACUUGAUUUGAACCCUGAGUUACGAAUGGUCCAAAAAUGCACUGCAGCUUAUCUUGUUCACAAGUUUGAUUUGAUGCUAUGCUUUUGCCAGAAGAUGAAGAUGGACGAUACUGAAGUCCUAUAUUCGAUUCUUUUUAUCGAAGAUUGUUCUGCCGUAGUUGAUGCUGCGACUAUUAGAAAACACUACAAGGAAGUGGUACUAUUGGUCCAUCCGGACAAGAAUGAUUCAGUUGCAGCAGAUGGUGCUUUCAAGAUCGUUCGUCAGGCUUGGGAAACUCUCUUAUCUGAUCACAAAAAAAGAAGAAAGACUCGAUGAGGAUGAAGUUUUUUGGUUUGGAUUAGAUUCAUUUUGAAUGUAUUCAAAUUUUUUUAUGAAUAAUAUGUAGUUAGUUUUUAUUUUGUUCUGAUUUUGUUACUUUUUUUAGAUUCAAUUUGAUUUUGAUUUUUAGUGUCAGUCCAAUUUCAUAAUUGAUCACAAUUAUGAUUAAGCAUUCCAAGUUGAAAUGCUACCAUCAUCAAUCCAUAAUAUAAUAUACAGAGUAAAUUGAAGCAAAUUAUUUGAAGAAUAUUCUGUUGUGGGUUUUUUUAGGGGUGAUAGUUUGUUGAUUAUUCAUUAUCUCAAUGUCAAUUCUUUUUUUUUUGGCNAUACAUCAUUAUAUUUCUUUUUCUGUAACUAAUUUAUAACAAUAAUAAUCUUAAAAAUUAUUAAAAUUAAUAAACAAUUCUUGAUUCUACUAAUUUAAAUUUUUUAUACAAAACUUUUAACAUCAAUUGUUCAUAAAAUUUACAAAUCUGUCGUGUAUAGUCUGUAUUUUUCUAAUUUUAUAAAUGAAAAUAAAAAACUACAAAAGUAGUAUGUUAUAACGAUUAAAUACCUUUAAUUAUAAUUAUUCUCAAUCAUAAUUUCUUAUUGCAAUGAAUACCAAAUUGAAUUUUGGUUCAAGAAAGAUAAGAUGCAUUUUGAGUAGAAAUUUUAAAUUCAAAUCAUAGAGUUCAUCACGUGAAAAAGAAAAAAAAAAUUUUUUGAAUAAUUUUGAGAGAAAAUGACGUCGUUUGUUGUUAGUCACUUGAAAUGAGUGAAAUGACGUCGUUCCUUCUUAAUGCUUAUUUCCCUCCUGCCACACGGUGUCGUUUUAGCAAGUGAUAAAACCAUCCCUUGAAACCCUGGCCUGUUUCUUUUUCUUCCUCGUCUGGCUAGGACUCUAACCGAGCCGCACCACCUCUCUCCCACGAUGGUUCCUGGGUUUCUCUCUCGACCGUCCUUUUCACUUGCCUUAGCUUGUUUUAGACGCCAACCAAACGAAAUAGCGUCUUUUCAACGCCAAAUUGCCCAACACUAUAAAAACCGUUCCCUUUACUCACAAAAUCUUAGAUCUCAGAUUUCAGAUAUCAAAUCUCAGAUCGUUUCUUACUCUCUUUGAAGAAAUUGUGUUGCGAUGGCUGAUUUUCGUCUCCAAGGUCUUUGUCAAUCUCAAUUCACAGAGAUUGCUGCUGAAAGAGCUAAAGUAGCUGCAGAGGAAUAUUUCAAGUCGGGAAACAUCGACAGAGCUAUUCAGCAAGGGUUCGCAGCACUCGAUUUGAACCCCAAUUUACGGAUCGUGCAGAAGUACAUUGCCGCCUAUUUGAUUCACAAGUUUGCUUCUAUGUUAAGUCUUUGCCAGAAAAUGAAGGUAGACGAUACCAAAGUUCUGUACUCCAUUCUUUUUAUCGAAGAUUGUUCUGCCGUAGUUGAUGCUGCGACUAUUAGAAAACACUACAAGGAAGUGGUACUAUUGGUCCAUCCGGACAAGAAUGAUUCAGUUGCAGCAGAUGGUGCUUUCAAGAUCGUUCGUCAGGCUUGGGAAACUCUCUUAUCUGAUCGCAACAAAAGAAGAAAGACUCGAUGAGGAUGAAGUUUUUUGGUUUGGAUUAGAUUCAUUUUGAUAUGUAUUCAAAUUUUUUAUGAAUAACAUGUAGUUAGUUUUUAUUUUGUUCUGAUUUGGUUACUUUGUUGAGAUUCAAUUUGAUUUUGAUUUUUAGUGUCAGUCCAAUUUCAUAAUUGAUCACAAUUAUGAUUAAGCAUUCCAAGUUAAAAUGCUACCAUCAUCAAUCCAUAAUAUAAUAUACAGAGUAAAUUGAAGCAAAUUAUUUGAAGAAUAUUCUGAUGUGGGUUUUUUAGGCAAUGAACGUUUUCUUUAAGCUUUCAGAUUUUAUUUUGUUAAAAUAAAUUUCUUUGUGUUAUAUAUUUUGUAAGUCUCUUUCGUUAGCUUGAAAUUGAAUUCUGGGUUCAAGAGGUUAUUGUAUUAAGUAACUAUGUGUUUUGCUUGCUUCAGUGUUUGUAUCGGUGCUGCAGUUAUUCACUUUCCUUCUGAUUUGAUACAAUCAAACUAAAAAAAAGAAGGAAAAAAAUUUUUUUUCACAAAAGUUACUAUAAUAUUUUUCUUUUUAUGGGUGAUAGUUUGUUGAUUAUUCAUUAUUUCAGUGUCAAUUCUUUAUUUUUGGCUUAAGUUAAACAGGCAUUGAAAAACCAAUACUUGCUUGCAAAAGAAGAACCAUAUCAGUUCUACGUGCCUUUUGAUUCUUCAAUUGUUAUCAAAUGCUUGCUCAUGUUGUCCAGAUGUUCCCAAAUGAUGUUUCCUUGGGCGAUAUCAUUGACGCUGCAAAGUCUUUCAGGUUUGUUAUUCGGUUUUUCUCACUUAGAGGUUGAAUCACAAUUUAUCAUAUGUUUAUUUUUGCAUAAGUGUGCAUGUGUAGUAGUAUAAGGCUGUUAAAGGGAAUAUAAUUUGUCAGUUUUUAUACAUAGCAAACCCUAAGUGUGAUUUCUUGGAAAAGCAGAAGUCCAAUAAUGGACUAUACACGUUCCUCUUUUAUCAUUACUCAUAUCUUAGCCUAAAUUACUCUUGUUGUUUCUGUGCUAAAAGUAAUGCUGCUAAUAUCUAGUUCUGGCCAACUUUUGCUGAGCUGUUUGCAAUAAUUGUUGUAUACGCAUUUAUGUAAAGGUACAUUUUUUCUUGGGCCUUAAUUCACUUACCAUGUAGUUCUCUCCUGAAUCAUGUUUCUGUCCCAUUUAUAAAUGUUAGGCUAUGAUUUGAAUUGCCUUGUUAAGGAAGCAUUAUCUAUUGAAAUGUUGCUGGCAGCUAUCCUCUAACUUAAGGGUGCAGGAGACACGGUCUUCAUUGGAGUGGUUUGUGGGAAAAGUACAAGACAUGAUUAUCUAAAUACUUUGAGACGAUCUAUAGUGAAGGGUUCAAAUGAAUCAAGGUGAGAGGUUUAAAGAAGCUGAUCAGUUUUGCACUUCAUUGCCUUUGUCAUAUAAAAGUUUUAAUCUCUAUUCACCCACCAAAAAGGAGGAAUAGGAAAGAGAAUUGCAAAAGUGGAAGCUUUUUUACAUUUGCAUAAUGCCUGAUGCAGGCAUACGUUUAAGUACUUAGAGAGAGAUGAGACAAUGGUAGCUCACUUGGUGGGGGAAUUGAUGCAUUCAUAAAGCUGUCUCAAAGUUAGCUGCUAUCAAAAUCUCUAUUCAAUGUUGUAUAUACUUUCUAAAAUUUGAAGUCUAUGUUCCAAAUUCUGAGGAAAUCAUUGGUAGAGAUAUCACCGGGAUCGGAUCUCGGUACAAUAUACAUCUCAACACCUGUGGAGAAAUGUUAGUUAUGUUUCUGUUAGUAGCUUUUGUACUAGUGUAAUUUUUAUUACAAAAAUCAGUCAUGUAGGGUGCCUAGUGAUUUGAUUAUGAUAAUUGAUUUCCACGGUAAGAUGUACAAGUUUGGGUACUCCAGGACCAGAUCUCCAUUGCAGUGAUGUGGAAAGUUCAAGGAAAACGUUGUCAAGGGUCAUAAAUAUUGUGAAAGAAUUAACUCUAGCAUUUGUUUUUAAUUUACACUAGAUCUUCUGUCUGCUCGUGAGUAACGGGUUUUGCUUGUUUUCAUGACUUUUUCUUUAAAUUUAUCAUCACUAUUCACAAUGAUAUAUAUGAAUGAUAAUUAAAGAUAUAUUAAAAGAUAAUGACAAGAAAGUAUUGAGUUGUUCAGCUUUAAUUAUUUGGCACAGGCAAUGAGUCAAUGAGGGCAAAUGCUAUUGGCAGUUGUGUUGUGCUCAACCAUGGAGGAGGUUGCGCGGUAGACAAGAUGCUCAUGGAGUUUGCUUCACCGUCAAUAAUCCAUAUGAUACUUCUAUUUGUUGUUAUCCUCGUUAAUUCAUUUUUAAUUUUAUUAUUAUUUAUCUUUUUAAAAAUUGAUUUUACUAGAAUUCUGAUCAAUUUUGCUUUUCUAAUUUAAAUACUGUCUUUUAUGGUUUCUUUAUGCCUUGUAUAUUGGUGCACAGUAUGAUGCAUUUAACUUGAUAUACAUAAGAUGCACAAUAUGAUACAUUUAAUUUGAUAUUGCAUUACAGGUAGAAGACUUUAGGCAGCAGGGAACUAAGAUGAGAAGAAAGAUGUGGCUUCAGAAUAUGAAGAUAAAAUUGAUUGUUUUGGGUAUCCUUAUUGCCCUGAUUCUUAUCAUUGUGCUGUCAGUCUGCCACGGCUUCAAAUGUUAAUCUGUCUUGGAUUUCCCUCGUACCGCUCUUGCUGCCAGGGAUGUCUUGAUAGAUUGGUUUGUCUUACUUGUUUUUUUAGGGCAUAUAUUUCUCCCUUUGCUUGCGGUUUAGGAUAGGGGGAGGCUUUGUAUCUUGGUUGGCUGUAUAGGUUAUAGUUUGAACUUGUUACGGUAGAUAAAAAUUUCUAUGGAGGAUUUCUUCUUUAUACUGUGAUGGGGGUAUACUCGGAUUCCUGCAUAUCAUAUUUGUCCUUUUGAAAUGUUAUUAAUCUGUUUUUUUGGUUUUUGUCGCUUAUCAUGUAAAUCCUUUUGUAUGCAUUUCUCUUUUAGACGUAAGAGGAGACAGUUGGUUUUGUAAAAUUUUUUAAUGCUUAGGAGCCUAUGGUUGCAUGAGUAGCUCGGUGUCUUUGCCUUCCGCAGAGAAGGUCUUCAGCUCUAAUGAUUAGAGCGAUGUGUAUGAUUGAUUUUCCCCGCUCCCCUUGAAGUCUUGUUUUGAGGAUCUAUUCUUUCUCCAGAGAGAAAUUUGGGGAAUAAGUAAAGAAUUUUGAUGAAGGGUUGUUUUGUCAAAAAAUAAAAAACUAGUUUGACUACGAAACAAAUCGAAUUUUAUACGGUAGUUGGUUCUUUUUCGAUUUUACAUUAUUCCAAUAAAAGGAGUUAGCAUAUUUUUGCUUGAAAACAAUCCAAUUUGAGUUUCUAACCUUAAAUCGAGUUUGAGCAAUGAAAAUUAAUGUCUACAUGAACAGAUUAUAAUAUGUGAACAACUGUAGCAAUGAUGUGUUUUGUGCAUAAUAUGUUGAGAUUAGAUCCCACUAUUAGAAAAACUAAUGUCUAACUCAAAUUUUAACAUUUUGAAAUUCUUUCAAUAUUAAAUACUUGAAAACCUUAUGUCCGUUGUUGGCUGGAUCGUCUUUGUCCCAUUAUCCUCUCUAACCCAUCCUUUUUACGUGUUUUAAAAUUAUAAAUAAUAUAUAUAUAUAUAUUUAUAUAUUGUAAAACAAAAAAAUUAUAAUAAUUAAUAUUUUAUAAAUGAAAAUAAAAGAUUACAAAAGUAAUCUGUUAUAACAAUUAAAUAUCUUUAAUUAUAAUUAUUCUCAAUCAUAAUUUCUUAUUGCAGUCAAUACCCAAUUGAAUUUUGGUUCAAGUAAGAAAGAUAAGAUGCAUUUUGAAUAGAAAUUUUAAAUUCAAAUCAUAGAGAUCAUCACGAAAAAAAGAAAAAAAUAAAAAUUUCGUAUAGUUUACAGAGAAAUCCCAGCAAAGAAUAUGACGUCGUUUAUUUUUAAUCACUUGCAAUGAGUGAAAUGACGUCGUUUCCUUCUUGAAGCUUAUUUCUCUCCUACCACACGGUGUCGUUUUAUCAAGUGAUAAAAGCAUCCCUUGAAACCUCAGCCUGCUUCUUUUUCCCCGCUUGUCUGGCUAGGACUCUUACCGAGCCGCACCACCUCUCUUCCACGAUGGUUCCUGGGUUUCUCUCCCGGCCUUCCGUUCUCGAGCCGCAACUCCUGAUCACUUGCUUUAGCUUACUUUAGACGCUAACCAAACAAGAUAGCUUUUUUUCAACGCCAAAUUGCCCAACACUCUAAAAACCGUUCCCUUAUCUCACAAAUCUUAGAUCUCAGAUUUCAGAUAUCAAAUAUCAGAUCGUUUCUUACUUUCCUUGAAGAAAUUGUGUUGUGAUGGCCGAUUUUCGUCUUCAAGGUAUUUGUCAAUCUCAAUUCACAGAGAUUGCUGCUGAAAGAGCUAAAGUAGCUGCGGAAGAAUAUUUCAAGUUGGGAAACAUCGACAGGGCUAUUCAGCAAGGGUUCGCAGCACUCGAUUUGAACCCCAAUUUACGGAUCGUGCAGAAGUACAUUGCCGCCUAUUUGAUUCACAAGUUUGCUUCUAUGUUAAGUCUUUGCCAGAAAAUGAAGGUAGACGAUACCAAAGUUCUGUACUCCAUUCUUUUUAUCGAAGAUUGUUCUGCCGUAGUUGAUGCUGCGACUAUUAGAAAACACUACAAAGAAGUGGUACUAUUGGUCCAUCCGGACAAGAAUGAUUCAGUUGCAGCAGAUGGUGCUUUCAAGAUCGUUCGUCAGGCUUGGGAAACUCUCUUAUCUGAUCACAACAAAAGAAGAAAGACUCUACGAAGAUGAAGUUCUUUGGUUUGGAUUAGAUUCAUUUUGAUAUGUAUUCAAAUUUUUUAUGAAUAAUAUGUAGUUAGUUUUUAUUUUGUUCUGAUUUUGUUACUUUUCUUAGAUUCAAUUUGAUUUGAUUUUUAGUGUCAGUCCAAUUUCAUAAUUAAUCACAAUUAUGAUUAAGCAUUCCAAGUUAAAAUGCUACCAUCAUCAAUCCAUAAUAUAAUAUACAGAGUAAAUUGAAGCAAAUUAUUUGAAGAACAUUCUGAUGUGGAUUUUUUAGGCAAUGAACAUUUUUUUAAGUUUUUAGAAUUUUUUUGGUUAAUUUUGUUAAAAUAAAUUGCUUUGUGUUAUAUAUUUUGUAAGUCUUUUUUGUUAGUUUGAAAUUGAAUUCUGGGUUCAAUAUGUUAUUGUAUUAAGAAACUAUGUGUUUUGCUUGCUUUAGUGUUUGUAUCGGUGCUGCAGUUGUUCACUUUCCAUACAAUCAAAUUAAAAAAAAAAGGGAAAAAAAUCAAAAUUUUCACAAAAGUUACCGUAAUAUAUUUCUUUUUAGGGGUGAUAGUUUGUUGAUUAUUCAUUAUUUCAAUGUCAAUUCUUUUUUUUUUUGGCUCAAGUUAAACAGGCAUUGAAAAACCAAUACUUGCUUGCAAAAGAAGAACCAUAUUGGUUCUAUGUGUCUUUUGAUUCUUCAAUUGUUAUCAAUUGCUUGCUCAUUUGUCCAGAUGUUCCCAAAUGAUGUUUACUUAGGCGAAAUCAUUGAUGCUGUAAAGUCUUUCAGGUUUGUUAUUCGGUUUUUCUCACUCAGAGGUUGAAUCACAAUUUAUCAUAUGUUUAUUUUGGCAUAAGUGUGCAUGUGUAGUGGUAAUAAGGCUGCUAAAGGGAAUAUAAUUUGUCAGUUUUUAUACAUAGCAAACCCUAAGUGUGAUUUCCUGGAAAAGCAGAAGUCCAAGAAUGGACUAUACACUUUCCUCUUUAUCUUUACUCAUAUCUUAGUGUUUUACUUUCCAAAAUGAAAGUUACCUCCAUCUCAACCUUACUGCUAUCUGCCCUAAAGACAACCUUACAUCCCAUUCAUAUCCAUUUAUUCAUCAAUUUAUGGUCGCAUCACAUGAUUUAUCUAUUAGCAACCAAUAUUCUUCUUUCAGACUUUCAGUCAAAGUUCUUAUUGACAGGAAGAGGUUUAACCUGAAACAGCAACCUGCCUGGCCUUCUUUUGGCUCAUUUGAACCUUUAACCUGUUUUCCUGGGCAGUCACCAUUGAUUAUAAGCCUAAAUUACUCUUGUUGUUUCUGUGCUAAAAGUAAUGCUGCUAAUGUCUAGUUCUGGCCAACUUUUGCUGAGCUGUUUGCAAUAAUUGUCGUAUACACAUUUAUGUAAAGGUACAUUUUUUCUUGGGCCUUAAUUCGCAUACCACGUAGUUCUCUCCUGAAUCAUUUUUUUGUCCCAUUUGUAAAUGUUAGGCUAUGAUUUGAAUUGCCUUGUUAAGGAGGCAUUAUCUAUUGAAAUGUUGCUGGCAGCUAUCCUCUAACUUAAGGGUGCAGGAGACACGGUCUUCAUUGGAGUGGUUGUGUUGGUUUAUCUGAAUCUUUACUGCAUAAGUGUCUGGUGAAAUGAAUCAAUAAAAAGAAGCAAAAUCAUUAAGGGGAUUUUUAGUGUGAAUGUGUAACUUAGGGGUGAUAAUGUUUUAUUUUUUCCUGUUUAAAUGAGAUGAUAAUGUUUUAUUUGAAUGUAUAUAGCAUGAAUCAGAAAAGUUGCGAUAAUGAGGGAUAUUGUAUCGUUUGAGGGUGGUGGUUGUCGGUUAUUUUGAUAGACAAAUGGAGGUAAUAUUUGGAUUCGGGUGCAUUAAUGAGAUGACUCUAAAAAUUAUGAGGUUAAUGUAGCAUAAGGUUCACAUAAUUUAUAAUGCCAUAAUCAUAAAUAAGCCCUUCACAUGUGAUAAAAUCCUCACUUAAGCCCUUAUUGUUUUGUUUGCGUCAAUUGAGUCCCCAACCUAUUAUUUUGAUGUCAAAUGAAUCCAAUUUGAAUGGGAAAUGCUGACAUCGCUAAAGGUGUGACUUAUUCCAACAUACAUGAGUUAAUUGGGGACAUUUGAAAUGUCAGCAUUUCCAUCUAAAUUGGAUUCAGUUGACACCAAAUGAUAGGUUGAUGGCUCGAUUGACACAAAUAAAAUAAUAAAGGCUUAAGUGAGAAUUUUACCAUAAUUUGAGAGCUUAUUUUGUUAUUAUGCCAUUUAUAAUUUACGAGAAGCAUUCUUGUCUGAAGUAUGUUUCAUUUUAAUUGUUACUUCUAUGCUUUUCCCUUUUCUCUUUUCCUUAGCUAGCCGCAUUUCAUGUUGAUUUUUUCCGGCCCUCCCAAAAGUCAAUGUCUGUUUGAUGUUUCCAUUCCUGCAUCUAUAUGUGCUUUGGAUCUGGAUUGGUUCCAAGGACCAUGCAUGGAAGUUAGUUCUAUGCUGAUGUUACCAAAUGAAUGCUUAAUAUGUAGUAAAGAAUGAUGUUGAAAAGCAAAAGGAUCUUGUGAAGACGUAACUAGUAUCAAACAUGGUAAACUGAGCAGCACCUGCCGACACAUUGUUAGUUACGUGUUUUGUCAAGGACCUCACCCUCUAAUCAUACCCAUGGAUGAGGCAUAUCCAGGUCACUGUCUGAUUGAUCAAUUGCAGCUGGCUGCUGCUUUUUAGCUUCUCUGUGGGUGCAUGUGUUAACAAGUGUGUGCAUAUUGAUGUUAGUUUUAAAGCUGUCGAUGAUAUGCAUAAUGGAUUACAUUUAGAAAAGAAAACGGAGAGAAGGUUAUUUUUUUUAUCUAAGCAUGUUGGUUUUGAUCAUAGAUCUGGAUGCUGACUUCUGGUUUGAAUUUGUUGAAUGUGGCUUUAGUAGGAAAUGAAUGCUUAUUGCCGUAAAUCCUGAUUUCUUUAAUUGUUCUCAUACUCAUUUUGUCAAAUACAUUUGGUGCUGCAGCCUACUGUGUAGUAGCAGUUGAAUCUGCUGGCAGGCAAGUUCCAAUUGCAUUUCUGGAACGAGUCAAGGAAGACUUCAACGAGACAUAUGGUGGAGGAAAAGCUGCAACUGCUCCCCCGGAUAGCGUGAAUAGAGAAUUUGGGUAUUUAACUGUCUUUAUUUUUCUCGUAGAUUUAUUGUUCACUUCUUCGUGACAUGCUUAGCUCUUUAUACAUAAUAGGUCCAAAUUGAAGGAGCAUAUGCAGUAUUGUGUGGACCAUCCUGAAGAGAUCAGCAAACUUGCCAAAGUGAAGGCUCAAGUUUCUGAAGUCAAGGGUGUUAUGAUAGAAAACAUUGAGAAGGUAAUAGGCUGCUGCUGAUGUUGUAGCUGUUCUAGAGGUAGUUUGAGGGUUAAAACAUGAUAAGAUGCACAUCCAGCUUCUGCAAGUUGCUAGACGCGUUAUAAAAUUGAAAGCACUUCAGAUAUAUUGCAUGUGGUGUGUUGUUUUGUUAGUAACAUUUGGCUUUGGCCAGGUCCUUGAUCGUGGUGAGAAAAUUGAGUUGCUGGUGGAUAAAACGGAGAACCUUCGCUCACAGGUUAGUCAUAUUCAAACUGCAUUUUAUGGGUAACUGAAACAAUGACUUAAUUGUGUUUUGGUGAAGCCAUUGCCUUUCAAAGUUGGUUUUAAAACUUAUUAGGAUUCUGAUCAAUUUCGGUUUUCUAAUUUAAAUACCGUCUUUUAUGGUUUCUUGAUGCCUUGUAUAUUGGCGCACAGUAUGAUGCAUUUAACUUGAUAUACGUAAGAUGCAGAAUAUGAUACAUUUAAUUUGAUAUUGCAUUACAGGCGCAAGACUUUAGGCAGCAGGGAACUAAGAUGAGACGAAAGAUGUGGCUUCAGAAUAUGAAGAUAAAAUUGAUUGUUUUGGGUAUCCUUAUUGCUCGAUUCUUAUCAUUGUGCUGUCAGUCUGCCAUGGCUUUAAAUGUUAAUCUGUCCUGGAUUUCCCGGGUACAGCUCUUGCUGCCCGGGUUGUCUUGAUAGAUUGGUUUGUCUUACAUGUUUUUGAAGGGCAUAUAUUUCUCCCUUUGCUAGCCUUUUAGGAUAGGGGGAGGCUUUGUAUCUUGGUUGGCUGUAUAGGUUAUAGUUUGAACUUGUUGCGGUAGAUAAAAAUUUCUACGGAGGAUUUCUUCUUUAUAUUGUAAUGGGGGAAUACUCGGAUGCCUGCAUAAUGUUAUUAAUCUGUUUUUUUUUUUUCUCUCUCUCUUAUCAUGUAAAUCCUUUUAUAUGCUUUUCUUUAGAGGUAAGUGGACACAGUUGGUUUUGUUAAAUUUUUUAAUGCUUUGGAGCCUAUGGUUGCAUGAGUAGCUCGGUGUCUUUACCGUCCGCAUGGAAGGUCUUUAGCUCUAAUGAUUAGAGAGAUGUGUAUGAUUGAUUUUCCCCCGCUUACUUUGAAGUCUUGUUUUGAGGAUCUAUUCUUUCUCCAUAGAGAAAUUUGGGGAAUAAGUAAAGAAUGUUGAUGAGGGGUUGUUUUGUUAAAAAAAAGAAAAAAGUUUGUUAAAAAAUUAGUUUUACUAUAAAAACAAAUCGAAUUUUAUUUGACAAUUGGUUCCCUUUCGAUUUUACAUUAUUCAAAUAAAAAGAGUUAGAUUAUUUUUGCUUGAAAACGACUCAAUUUGUGUUUCUAAUGAUACAAACUAUUAAGAACAGUGUAAAUCGAGUUUGAGUAAUGGAAACUAAUGUCCAUAGAACAGAUUAUAAUAUAUAAAAAAUUGUAGCAAUGAUGUGAAGUAGAAGCACUACUGUCUUCGCGGUUUUGUACAUAAUAUGCUAAGAUUAGAUGCCACAAUUGAAAAAAUUAAGGCUUAAUACAAAUUUUAACAUUUUUGAAUUUUUUCAAUAUUAAAUAUCUAAAAACCUGAUGCCUGUUGUUGGCUGGAGCAUCCUUGUCCCAUUAUCUCUUUGACCCACCUGUUUACGUGCUUAAAAUAUAUAUAUAUAUAUAUAUAUAUUAUAUAACAAAGUAAUUUUUUGUAAUUGAUAUUUUAUAAAUAAAAAUAAAAGAUUACAGAAGUAGUUAGGUACAAUAAUUAAAUACUUUUAAUUAUAAUUAUUCUCAAUCAUAAUUUCUUAUUGCAAUCAACACCAAUUUGAAUUUUGGUUCAAAUAAGAAAGAUAAGAUGCAUUUUGAGUAGAAAUUUUAAAUUCAAAUCAUAGAGUUCAUAAAGAGAAAAAGAAAAAAUAAAAAUUUCGUAUAAUUUACAGAGAAAAUGACGUGGUUUAUUGUCAAUGGCUUGAAAUGAGUUACAUGACGUCGUUUCCUUCUUAAUGCUUAUUUCUCUCCCCUCACACGGUGUCGUUUUACCAAGCAAUAAAUGCAUCCCGUGAAACCCUGGCCUGUUUCUUUUUCUUCCUUGUCUGGCUAGGACUCUAACCGAGCCGCACCACAUCUCUUCCACGAUGGUUCCUGGGUUUCUCUCUCGACCGUCCUUUUCACUUGCCUUAGCUUGUUUUAGACGCCAACCAAACGAAAUAGCGUCUUUUCAACGCCAAAUUGCCCAACACUAUAAAAACCGUUCCCUUAUCUCACAAAUCUUAGAUCUCAGAUUUCAGAUAUCAAAUCUCGGAUCGUUUCUUACUCUCUUUGAAGAAAUUGUGUUGCGAUGGCUGAUUUUCGUCUUCAAGGUAUUUUUCAAUCUCAAUUCACAGAGAUUGCUGCUGAAAGAGCUAAAGUAGCUGCAGAGGAAUACUUCAAGUCGGGAAACAUCGACAGGGCUAUUCAGCAAGGGUUCGCAGCACUCGAUUUGAACCCCAAUUUACGGAUCGUGCAGAAGUACAUUGCCGCCUAUUUGAUUCACAAGUUUGCUUCUAUGUUAAGUCUUUGCCAGAAAAUGAAGGUAGACGAUACCAAAGUUCUGUACUCCAUUCUUUUUAUCGAAGAUUGUUCUGCCGUAGUUGAUGCUGCGACUAUUAGAAAACACUACAAGGAAGUGGUACUAUUGGUCCAUCCGGACAAGAAUGAUUCAGUUGCAGCAGAUGGUGCUUUCAAGAUCGUUCGUCAGGCUUGGGAAACUCUCUUAUCUGAUCACAACAAAAGAAGAAAGACUCGAUGAAGAUGAAGUUUUUUGGUUUGGAUUAGAUUCAUUUUGAAUGUAUUCAAAUUUUUUUAUGAAUAAUAUGUAGUUACUUUUUAUUUUGUUCUGAUUUUGUUACUUUUUUUAGAUUCAAUUUGAUUUUGAUUUUUAGUGUCAGUCCAAUUUCAUAAUUGAUCACAAUUAUGAUUAAGCAUUCCAAGUUAAAAUGCUACCAUCAUCAAUCCAUAAUAUAAUAUACAGAGUAAAUUGAAGCAAAUUAUUUGAAGAAUAUUCUGAUGUGGGUUUUUUAGGCAAUGAACUUUUUCUUUAAGAUUUUAGAUUUUUUUUUGUUUAAUUUUGUUAAAAUAAAUUGCUUUGUGUUAUAUAUUUUGUAAGUCUUUUUCGUUAGUUUGAAAUUGAAUUCUGGGUUCAAGAGGUUAUUGUAUUAAGAAACUAUGUGUUUUGCUUGCUUCAGUGUUUGUAUCGGUGCUGCAGUUAUUCACUUUCUUUCUGAUUUGAUACAAUCAAACUAAAAAAAUAAAAUUUUCACAAAAGUUACUAUAAUAUAUUUCUUUUUAUGGGUGAUAGUUUGCUGAUUAUUCAUUCUGUCAAUGUCAGUUCUUUUUUGGCUCAAGUUAAACAGGCAUUGAAAAACCAAUACUUGCUUGCAAAGAACCACAUUGAUUCUACGUGUCUUUUGAUUCUUCAAUUGUUAUCAAAUGCUUGCUCAUUUUGUCUAGAUGUUCCCAAAUGAUGUUUACUUGGGCGAUAUCAUUGAUGCUGCAAAGUCUUUCAGGUUUGUUAUUCGGUUUUUCUCACUUAGAGGUUGAAUCACAAUUUAUCAUAUGUUUAUUUUUGCAUAAGUGUGCAUGUGUAGUAGUAUAAGGCUGUUAAAGGGAAUAUAAUUUGUCAGUUUUUAUACAUAGCAAACCCUGAGUGUGAUUUCUUGGAAAAGCAAAAGUCCAAUAAUGGACUAUACACGUUCCUCUUUUAUCAUUACUCAUAUCUUAGCCUAAAUUACUCUUGUUGUUUCUGUGCUAAAAGUAAUGCUGCUAAUAUCUAGUUCUGGCCAACUUUUGCUGAGCUGUUUGCAAUAAUUGUUGUAUACACAUUUAUGUAAAGGUACAUUUUUUCUUGGUCCUUAAUUCAUGUACCAUGUAGUUCUCUCCUGAAUCAUUUUUUUGUCCCAUUUGUAAAUGUUAGGCUAUGAUUUGAAUUGCCUUGUUAAGGAAGCAUUAUCUAUUGAAAUGUUGCUGGCAGCUAUCCUCUAACUUAAGGGUGCAGGAGACACGGUCUUCAUUGGAGUGGUUUGUGGGAAAAGUACAAGACAUGAUUACCUAAAUACUUUGAGACGAUCUAUAGUGAAGAGUACAAAUAAAUCAAGGUGAUAGGUUUAAAGAAGCUGAUCAGUUUUGCACUUCAUUGCCUUUGUCAUAUAAAAGUUUUAAUCUCUAUUCACCCACCAAAAAGGAGGAAUAGGAAAGAAAAUUGCAAAAGUGGAAGCUUUUUUACAUUUGCAUAAUGCCUGAUGCACGCAUACGUUUAAGCACUUAGAGAGAGAUGAGACAAUGGUAGCUCACUUGGUGGGGGAAUUGAUGCAUUCAUAAAGCUGUCUCAAAGUUAGCUGCUAUUAAAAUCUCUAUUCAAUGUUCUAUAUACUUACUAAAAUUUGAAGUCUAUGUUCCAAAUUCUGAGGAAAUCAUUGGUAGAGAUAUCACCUGGAUCGGAUCCUGGUACAAAUACAUCUCAACACCUGUGGAGAAAUGUUAGUUAUGUUUCUGUUAGUAGCUUUUGUACUAGUGUAAUUUUCAUUACAUAAAUCAGUCAUGUAGGGUGCCUAGUGAUUUGAUUAUGAUAAUUGAUUUCCACGGUAAGAUGUACAAGUUUGGGUACUCCAGGACCAGAUCUCCAUUGCAGUGAUGUGCAAAGUUCAAGGAAAACUUUGUCAAGGGUCAUAAAUAUUGUGAAAGGGUUAACUCUAGCAUUUGUUUUUAAUUUACACUAGAUCUUCUGUCUGCUCGUGAGUAACGGGUUUUGCUUGUUUUCAUGACUUUUUCUUUAAAUUUAUCAUCACUAUUCACCAUGAUAUAGAUGAAUGAUAAUUAAAGAUAUAUUAAAAGAUAAUGACAAGAAAAUAUUGAGUUGUUCAGCUUUAAUUAUUUGGCACAGGCAAUGAGUCAAUGAGGGCAAAUGCUAUUGGCAGUUGUGUUGUGCUCAACCAUGGAGGAGGUUGCGCGGUAGACAAGAUGCUCAUGGAGUUUGCUUCACUGUCAAUAAUCCCUAUGAUACUUCUAUUUGUUGUUAUCCUCAUUAAUUCAUUUUUAAUUUUAUUAUUAUUUAUCUUUUUAAAAAUUGAUUUUACUAGAAUUCUGAUCAAUUUUGCUUUUCUAAUUUAAAUACUGUCUUUUAUGGUUUCUUUAUGCCUUGUAUAUUGGUGCACAAUAUGAUGCAUUUAACUUGAUAUACAUAAGAUGCACAAUAUGAUACAUUUAAUUUGAUAUUGCAUUACAGGUACAAGACUUUAGGCAGCAGGGAACUAAGAUGAGAAGAAAGAUGUGGCUUCAGAAUAUGAAGAUAAAAUUGAUUGUUUUGGGUAUCCUUAUUGCCCUGAUUCUUAUCAUUGUGCUGUCAGUCUGCCAUGGCUUCAAAUGUUAAUCUGUCUUGGAUUUCCCUUGUACCGCUCUUGCUGCCUGGGUUGUCUUGAUAGAUUGGUUUGUCUUACUUGUUUUUUUAGGGCAUAUAUUUCUCCCUUUGCUAGCCUUUUAGGAUAGGGGGAGGCUUUGUAUCUUGGUUGGCUGUAUAGGUUAUAGUUUGAACUUGUUACGGUAGAUAAAAAUUUCUAUGGAGGAUUUCUUCUUUAUAUUGUAAUGGGGGAUUACUCGGAUGCCUGCAUAUCAUAUUUGUCCUUUUGAAAUGUUAUUAAUCUGUUUUUUUGUUUUUCUCGCUUAUCAUGCAAAUCCUUUUAUAUGCAUUUCUCUUUUAGAGGUAAGAGGACAAGGUUGGUUCUGUAAAAAUUUUUAAUGCUUAGGAGACUACGGUUGCAUGAGUAGCUCAGUGUCUUCGCCUUCCGCAGGGAAGGUCUUUAGCUCUAAUGAUUAAAGCGAUGUGUAUGAUUGAUUUUCUCCCACUACCUUUGAAGUCUUGUUUUGAGGAUCUAUUCUUUCUACGGAGAGAAAUUUGGGGAAUAAGUAAGGGAUGUUGACGAAUGGUUGUUUUGUCAAAAAAAAAAAAAAAUGGUUUGUUAAAACACUAGUUUGACAACGAAACAAAUUGAAUUUUAUUUGGUAGUCGGUUCGAUUUUUCUUUAUUAAAAUCAAAGGCGUUAGUAUAUUUUUGCUUGAAAACGAUUUAAUUUGAGUUUUUAAUCGUAAAUCGAGUUUGAGUAAUGGAAACUAAUGUCCACAAGAAUAUAUUAUAAUAUAUGAAAAAUUGUAGCUAUGAUGUGAAGCAAAAGUACUAUUGUGCUCAUGAUUUUGUAUAUAAUAUGUUGAGAUUAGGUCCUACUAUUAGAAAAAUUAAAAUUUAAUUCAAAUUUUAACAUCUUGAAAUUCGUUCAAUAUUAAAUACUUAAAAACUUAAUGCCCGCUGUUAACUGAAUCAUCUUUGUAUCAUUAUCCUCUCUAAUCUUUUUUUUUUUGCUUAAAAUAUAUAUAUAUAUUAUAUAACAAAAGAUUUUUAAUAGUUGGUAUUUUAUGAAUGAAAACAAAAGACUACAAAGUAGUCUGUUAUAACAAUUAAAUACCUUUAAUUAUAAUUAUUCUCUAUCAUAGUUUCUUAUUGCAAUUAAUACCAAAUUGAAUUUUGAUUCAAGUAAGAAAGAUAAGAUGCGUUUUGAGUAGAAAUUUUAAAUUCAAAUUAUAGAGUUCAUCACGAGAAAGAGAAACAAUAAAAUUUCGUAUAAUUUACAAAAAAAAUGACGUCGUUUAUUAUUAAUCACUUGAAAUGAAUGGCAUGACGACGUUUCCUUCUUAAUGCUUAUUUCUCUCCUGCUACACGGUGUCGUUUUACCAAGUAAUAAAAGCAUCCCUUGAAACCCUAGCCUCUUUCUUUUUCUCCGCUGGUCUCGGUAAGACUCUAACCGAGCCGCACCACCUCUCUUCCACGAUGGUUCCUGGGUUUCUCUCCCGGCCCUCCUUUCUCGAGCCGCAACUCCUGAUCACUUGCCUUCGCUUGUUUUAGACGCCAAGCAAACAAGAUAGCUUUUUUCCAACGCCAAAUUGCCCAACAAUAUAAAAACCCUCCCUUUACUCACAAAAUCUUAGAUCUCAGAUUUCAGAUAUCAAAUCUCAGAUCGUUUCUUACUCUCUUUGAAGAAAUUGUGUUGCGAUGGCUGAUUUUCGUCUUCAAGGUAUUUGUCAAUCUCAAUUCACAGAGAUUGCUGCUGAAAGAGCUAAAGUAGCUGCAGAGGAAUACUUCAAGUCGGGAAACAUCGACAGGGCUAUUCAGCAAGGGUUCGCAGCACUCGAUUUGAACCCCAAUUUACGGAUCGUGCAGAAGUACAUUGCCGCCUAUUUGAUUCACAAGUUUGCUUCUAUGUUAAGUCUUUGCCAGAAAAUGAAGGUCGACGAUACUAAGGUUCUGUACUCCAUUCUUUUUAUCGAAGAUUGUUCUGCCGUAGUUGAUGCUGCGACUAUUAGAAAACACUACAAAGAAGUGGUACUAUUGGUCCAUCCGGACAAGAAUGAUUCAGUUGCAGCAGAUGGUGCUUUCAAGAUCGUUCGUCAGGCUUGGGAAACUCUCUUAUCUGAUCGCAACAAAAGAAGAAAGACUCGAUGAAGAUGAAGUUUUUUUGGUUUGGAUUACAUUCAUUUUGAUAUGUAUUCAAAUUUUUUAUGACUAAUAUGUAGUUAGUUUUUCUUUUGUUCUGAUUUUGUUACUUUUCUUAGAUUCAAUUUGUGUUGAUUUUUAGUGUCAGUUCAAUUUCAUAAUUAAUCACAGUUAUGAUUAAGCAUUCCAAGUUAAAAUGCUACCAUCAUCAAUCCAUAAUAUAAUAUACAGAGUAAAUUGAAGCAAAUUAUUUGAAGAAUAUUCUGAUGUGGGUUUUUUAGGCAAUGAACUUUUUCUUUAAGAUUUUAGAUUUUUUUUUGUUUAAUUUUGUUAAAAUAAAUUGCUUUGUGUUAUAUAUUUUGUAAGUCUUUUUCGUUAGUUUGAAAUUGAAUUCUGGGUUCAAGAGGUUAUUGUAUUAAGUAACUAUGUGUUUUGCUUGCUUCAGUGUUUGUAUCGGGGUUACAGUUUGUUCACUUUCGUUCUCAUUUGAUACAAUCAAACUAAAAAUAAAAAAGGAAAAAAAUUAAAAUUUUCACAAAAGUUACUAUAAUAUAUUUCUUUUUAGGGGUGAUAGUUUGUUGAUUAUUCAUUAUCUCAAUGUCAAUUCUUUUUUUUUUUUGGCUCAAGUUAAACAGGCAUUGAAAAACCAAUAUUUGCUUGCAAAAGAAGAACCAUAUUGGUUCUACGUGUCUUUUGAUCCUUCAAUUGUUAUCAAAUGCGUGCUCAUGUUGUCCAGAUGUUCCCAAAUGAUGUUUACUUUGGCGAUAUUAUUGGUGCUGCAAAGUCUUUCAGGUUUGUUAUUCAGUUUUUCUCACUCAGAGGUUGAAUCACAAUUUAUCGUAUGUUUAUUUUUGCAUAAGUGUACAUGUGUAGUGGUAUAAGGCUGUUAAAGGGAAUAUAAUUAGUCAGUUUUUAUACAUAGCAAACCCAAAGUGUGAUUUCUUGGAAAGGCAGAAGUCCAAGAAUGGACCAUACACUUUCCUCUUUAUCUUUACUCAUAUCUUAGUGUUUUACUUUCCAAAAUGAAAGUUACCUGCAUCUCAACCUUGCUGCUAUCUGCCCUAAAGACAACCUUACAACCCAUUCAUAUCCAUCUAUUCAUCAAUUUAUGGUCCCAUCACAUGAUAUAUCUAUUAGCAACCGAUAUUCUUCUUUCAGACUUUCCGUAAAAGUUCUUAUUGACAGGAAGAAGUUUCACCUGAAACAGCAACCUGCCUGGCCUUCUUCUGACUCAUUUGAACCUUUAACCUGUUUUCCUGGGCGGUCACCAUUGCUAAUAAGCCUAAAUUACUCUUGUUGUUUCUGUGCUAAAAGUGAUGCUGUUAAUAUCUAGUUCCGGCCAACCUUUGCUGAGCAGUUUGCAACAAUUGUCGUAUACACAUUUAUGUAAAGGUACAUUUUUUCUUGGUCCUUAAUUCAUGUACCAUGUAGUUCUCUCCUGAAUCAUUUUUUUGUCCCAUUUGUAAAUGUUAGGCUAUGAAUUGAAUUGCCUUGUUAAUAAGGAGGCAUUAUCUAUUGAAAUGUUGCUGGCAGCUAUCCUCUAACUUAAGGGUACAGGAGACAAGGUCUUCAUUGGAGUGGUUUGUGUUGGUUUAUCUGAAUCUUUACUACAUAAGUGUCUGGUGAAAUGAAUCCAUAAAAAGAAGCAAAAUCAUUGAGGGGAUUUUUAGUGUGAAUGUGUAACUUAGGGGUGAUAAUGUUUUAUUUUUUCCUGUUUAAAUGAGAUGGUAAUGUUUUAUUGGAUGUAUAUAGCAUGAAUCAGAAAAGUUGUGAUAAUGAGGGACAUUGUAUCUUUUGAGGGUGGUGGUUGUCGGUUGUUUUGAUAGACAAAAUGGAGGUAAUAUUAAGAUUCGGACGCAUUAAUGAGAUAACUCUGAAAAUUAUCAGGUUAAUGUAGCAUAAGGUUCACAUAAUUUAUAAUGCCAUAAUGAUAAAUAAGCCCAUCACCUGUGAUAAAAUCCUCACUUAAGCCCUUACUGCUUUAUUUGCGUCAAUUGAGUCCCCAACCUAUUAUUUUGAUGUCAAAUGAAUCCAAUUUGAAUGGGAAAUGCUGACAUCGCUAAAGGUGUGACUUAUUCCAACAUACAUAAGUUAAUUGGGGACAUUAGAAAUGUCAGCAUUUCCAUCUAAAUUGGAUUCACAUGACACCAAAUAAUAGGUUGAUGGCUCGAUUGACACAAAUAAAAUAAUAAAGGCUUAAGUGAGAAUUUUACCAUAAUUUGAGAGCUUAUUUUUUUAUUAUGCCAUUUAUAAUUUACAAGAAGCAUUCUAGUCUGAAGUAUGUUUCAUUUUAAUUGUUGCUUCUAUGCUUUUCCCUUUUCUCUUUUCCGUAGCUAGCUGCAUUUCAUGUUGAUUUUUCCCUGCCAUCCCAAAAGUCAAUGUCUGUUUGAUGUUUCCAUUCAUGCAUCUAUAUGUGCUUUGGAUCUGGAUUGGUUCCAAUGACCAUGCAUGGAAGUUAGUUCCAUGCUGAUGUUACCAAAUGAAUGCUUAAUAUGUAGAAAGUAAAGAAUGAUGUUGAAAAGCAAAAGGAUCUUAUGAAGACAUAACUAGUAUCAAACAUAGAAAAAUGAACAGCACCUUCUGACACAUUGUUAAUUACGUGUUUUGUCAAGGACCUCACCCUCUAAUCAUACCCAUGGAUGAGACAUAUCCAGGUCACUAUCUGAUUGAUCAAUUGCAGCUGGCUGCUGCCUUUUAGCUUCUCUGUGGGUGCAUGUGUUAACAACUGUGUGCAUAUUGAUGUUAGUUUUAAAGCUGUCGAUGAUAUGCAUAAUGGAUUACAUUUAGAAAAGAAAACGGAGAGAAGGUUAUUUUUUUUAUCUAAGCAUGUUGGUUUUGAUCAUAGAUCUGGAUGCUGACUUCUGGUUUGAAUUUGUUGAAUGUGGCUUUAAUAGGAAAUGAAUGCUUAUUGCCAUAAAUCCUGAUUUCUUUAAUCGUUCUCAUAUACUCAUUUUGUUAAAUACAUUUGGUGCUGCAGCCUACUGUGUAGUAGCAGUUGAAUCUGCUGGCAGGCAAGUUCCAAUUGCAUUUCUGGAACGAGUCAAGGAAGACUUCAACAAGAGAUAUGGUGGAGGAAAGCUGCAACUGCUACCGCAAAUAGCCAGAAUAAAGAAUCUGGGUAUUUAGCUGUCUUUAUCUUUCUUGUAGAUUUAUUGUUUACUUCUUCGUGACAUGCUUAGCUCUUUAUACAUAAUAGGUCCAAAUUGAAGGAGCAUAUGCAGCAUUGUGUGGACCAUCCUGAAGAGAUCAGCNAAAAGUUGUGAUAAUGAGGGACAUUGUAUCUUUUGAGGGUGGUGGUUGUCGGUUGUUUUGAUAGACAAAAUGGAGGUAAUAUUAAGAUUCGGACGCAUUAAUGAGAUAACUCUGAAAAUUAUCAGGUUAAUGUAGCAUAAGGUUCACAUAAUUUAUAAUGCCAUAAUGAUAAAUAAGCCCAUCACCUGUGAUAAAAUCCUCACUUAAGCCCUUACUGCUUUAUUUGCGUCAAUUGAGUCCCCAACCUAUUAUUUUGAUGUCAAAUGAAUCCAAUUUGAAUGGGAAAUGCUGGCAUUGCUAAAGGUGUGACUUAUUCCAACAUACAUGAGUUAAUUGGGGACAUUAGAAAUGUCAGCAUUUCCAUCUAAAUUGGAUUCACAUGACACCAAAUAAUAGGUUGAUGGCUCGAUUGACACAAAUUAAAUAAUAAAGGCUUAAGUGAGAAUUUUACCAUAAUUUGAGAGCUUAUUUUUUUAUUAUGCCAUUUAUAAUUUACAAGAAGCAUUCUAGUCUGAAGUAUGUUUCAUUUUAAUUGUUGCUUCUAUGCUUUUCCCUUUUCUCUUUUCCGUAGCUAGCUGCAUUUCAUGUUGAUUUUUCCCUGCCAUCCCAAAAGUCAAUGUCUGUUUGAUGUUUCCAUUCAUGCAUCUAUAUGUGCUUUGGAUCUGGAUUGGUUCCAAUGACCAUGCAUGGAAGUUAGUUCUAUGCUGAUGUUACCAAAUGAAUGCUUAAUAUGUAGAAAGUAAAGAAUGAUGUUGAAAAGCAAAAGGAUCUUAUGAAGACAUAACUAGUAUCAAACAUGGAAAAAUGAACAGCACCUUCCGACACAUUGUUAAUUACGUGUUUUGUCAAGGACCUCACCCUCUAAUCAUACCCAUGGAUGAGACAUAUCCAGGUCACUAUCUGAUUGAUCAAUUGCAGCUGGCUGCUGCUUUUUAGCUUCUGUGUGGGUGCAUGUGUUAACAAGUGUGUGCAUAUUGAUGUUAGUUUUAAAGCUGUUGAUUAUAUUUAUAAUGGAUUACAUUUAGAGAAGAAAAAAGAGAGAGGUUUUUUUUUUUUUUUUAAACAUGUUGGUUUUGUCAUAGAUCUGGAUGCUGACUUCUGGUUUGAAUUUGUUGAAUGUGGCUUUAAUAGGAAAUGAAUGCUUAUUGCCAUAAAUCCUGAUUUCUUGAAUCGUUCUCAUAUACUCAUUUUGUUAAAUACAUUUGGUGCUGCAGCCUACUGUGUAGUAGCAGUUGAAUCUGCUGGCAGGCAAGUUCCAAUUGCAUUUCUGGAACGAGUCAAGGAAGACUUCAACAAGAGAUAUGGUGGAGGAAAGCUGCAACUGCUACCGCAAAUAGCCAGAAUAAAGAAUCUGGGUAUUUAGCUGUCUUUAUCUUUCUUGUAGAUUUAUUGUUUACUUCUUCGUGACAUGCUUAGCUCUUUAUACAUAAUAGGUCCAAAUUGAAGGAGCAUAUGCAGCAUUGUGUGGACCAUCCUGAAGAGAUCAGCAAACUUGCCAAAGUGAAAGCUCAAGUUUCUGAAGUCAAGGGUUUUAUGAUGGAAAACAUUGAGAAGGUAAUAGGCUGCUGCUGAUUUUGUAGCUGAUCUAGAGGUAGUUUGAGGGUUAAAACAUGAUAAGAAGCAUAUCCAGCUUCUGCAAGUUGCUAGAUGUGUUAUAAAAUUGAAAGUACUUCAGAUAUAUUGCAUGUGGUGUGUUGUUUUGUUAGUAACAUUUGGCUUUGGCCAGGUCCUUGAUUGUGUUGAGAAAAUUGAGUUGCUGGUGGAUAAAACGGAGAACCUUCGCUCACAGGUUAGUCAUAUUCAAACUGCAUUUUAUGGGUAACUGAAACAAGGACUUAAUUGUGUUUUGGUCAAGCCUUUGCCUUUUCAAAGUUGGUUUUAAAUAUUAUUAGGAUUCUGAUCAAUUUUGGUUUUCUAAUUUAAAUACCGUCUUUUAUGGUUUCUUUAUGCCUUGUAUAUUGGUGCACAAUAUGAUGCAUUUAACUUGAUAUACAUAAGAUGCACAAUAUGAUACAUUUAAUUUGAUAUUGCAUUACAGGUGCAAGACUUUAGGCAGCAGGGAACUAAGAUGAGAAGAAAGAUGUGGCUUCGAUUAUGAAGAUAAAAUUGAUUGUUUUGGGGAUCCUUAUUGCCCUGAUUCUUAUCAUUGUGCUGUCAGUCUGCCAUGGCUUCAAAUAUUAAUCUGUCUUGGAUUUCCCUGGUACAGCUCUUGCUGCCCGGGUUGUCUUGAUAGAUUGGUUUGUCUUACUUGUUUUUUUAGGGCAUAUAUUUCUCCCUUUGCUAGCCUUUUAGGAUAGGGGGAGGCUUUGUAUCUUGGUUGGCUGUAUAGGUUAUAGUUUGAACUUGUUGCGGUAGAUAAAAAUUUCGGUGGAGGAUUUCUUCUUUAUAGUGUAAUUGGGGAAUACUCGGAUGCCUGCGUAUCAUAUUUGUCCUUUUGAAAUGUUAUUAAUCUGUUUUUCUGUUUCUUUCGCUUAUCAUGUAAAUCCUUGUAUAUGCAUUUCUUUUUUAGAGGUAAGAGGAGACGGUUGGUUUUGUUAAAUUUUUUAAUGCUUAGGAGCCUAUGGUUGCAUGAGUAGCUCGGUGUCUUUACCUUCCGCAGGGAAGGUCUUUAGCUCUAAUGAUUAGAGCGAUGUGUAUGAUCGAUUUCCCCCCACUCACCUUGAAGUCUUGUUUUGAGGAUCUAAUCUUUCUCCAGAGAGAAAUUUGGGGAACAAGUAAGGGAUGUUGAUGAAGGGUUAUUUUGUUAAAAAACCAAAAUGGUUUGUUAAAAAAUUAGUUUGACUAUGAAACAAAUCGAAUUUUAAUUGGCAGUUGGUUCCCUUUCGAUUUUACAUUAUUCAAAUCAAAGGAGUUAGGAUAUUUUUGCUUAAAAACAAUCCAAUUUGAGUUCUAAUCGUACAAACUCUUUAAAACAGUAUAAAUCGAGUUUUGAGCAAUGAAAAUUAAUGUCCACAUGAACAGAUUAUAAUAUAUGGGAAAUUGUAGCAAUGGUGUGAAGCAGAAGCACUACUGUCUUCACGGGUUUGUACAUCAUAUGUUAAGAUUAGAUGCCACUAAUGGAAAAACUAAGGCUUAACAUAAAUUUUAACAUUUUGGAAUUUUUUCAAUAUUAAAUACCUAAAAGCUUUAUGCCCGUUGUUGGCUGGAUCAUCUUUGUCUCAUUAUCAUCUCUGUCUCAUCUUUUUACGUGCUUAAAAUAUAUAUAGAUAUAUAUUAUAUAACAAAGGAUUUUUUUAAUUGGUAUCUAAGCUAUAUAUGAUUCUUACCUAUCUAUAUACUCCACAUUCAACACCUGUAUCUGGUAUUUUAUCAAGAGUAAAGGGUAUUAUUGAGUUUUUAGUUCUACUUGCCAUUUCUUGCAGAUCCUUUUUCCUUUGUUGAUCCUAUCGACCUUUUCAUGGUCACACUGCCCCGACUCAGGCAUCACAAUCCCAAGUCGGUCCUAAUCAAAGAUGCUACUUCCAAGUUCUUCAGCACGGUCAUCAUCCUCUCCGAGAUCAACACGGAUAUGUGAUUUUGGACAUGCUCAAUCACAGAGCUUAACCCUUCUUAUUUGUGCAGCAGCCAACUCAUGGGUAAAUUGGUGAUUGCCUUGGGAUUUGCCAGUGUCUUUCUAAGCUUCUGUCCGUCUUUCUAGGCAUUCAUCCGGUGCAUGGAAGAAAGGUUUCGUCUGUGCAUGGAAUCGGGCCUUUGUCAGCGAAUGGAUUUACGGUCGAAACACCUUGACUCAAUGCAAUGGAGAGUUUCGAUGGCUGCAGUGGAGUUGAAUUAUCCGGUGGACUUUUCUAAGAUUAUGGAAUUCGAAAGGUUUGGAAGACGGGCUAAGGUUACAAGUCAGUCUUCUCAAUCUCAUCAACAUCUUGCUAUGAUGAUCAUUGAUGGUUUUCUGCAGUUUGAAUUGUUACUUUUCUUUCCCGAUAUAUAUUCAAUAUGCAAAAAUGAUUCUCUUUCAUUUCAUAAGUUUAUGUUCCCAUAUAAUUAAACAUAGGUGGGCUCGAGUCACAGCCCACAUAAGUGUAUGAAAAGACAAAUUUUGGAACGUUAUGGCUAUAUUUAAGCUCAGAGCAGUAAAAUUUUUUUUUAUUUUUUCAGAUAAUAUAAAGAAUGGAUUGAAAGAAACAGUUGAAAAUGAUUUGAGUAGUAAUUUUUCUUUGCUUCAGGUAGGUUUACCAAAUGAUUUAUUUCAAUAGAUAUGGGUUCCUCUGUUUUGAACGUUUUUGUUCUCUAAAAAGAUGAUUAGAAUGUACAAAAUACUUUGUGAAUGUAACAACUACUUACAUCAUUUUUAGUCUCAAAAUUCCAUAUUGGGUUACUUUUUUGAAUUGAGAAGUUCUGCAUCAAUGGAAAAGCUUAUCUUAAAUAAAAAUGGAUGAAUCAUUAGCAGAGGAAACUCAGUUGAGGACUAAAAGUGACCUUGGCAAAAGAAGCUCUGGUUCUUUUUUAAUAAGUACACAUUGUUACAUAUUUUUCUAUUGCUUCAUAUUAGAAGGAAUCUUUUAGAUAUUGGAUUGUCAUUAUACAAAAAUAAAAAGGGCAAUGGCAUGUUCUUGAUACCUUCUGUAUGAAGUGUGUACUAUUGUUUUUGUGUCAACAAUGCUGUGAAUAUAUAAUUAUUUUUUCAAGGGUAGCAUCAAACUCAAAUUUGAUGUCAUCAUAAAAAUUUCAAAAGUCAAAGGCUUUCCAGAACUUCUUCAAAAUAACGUAUACUCAGAUUUAACAAUGACUACUUACUUAAUUUGGCAACAACCAAAGACUAAAAAUUAGACUAAUUGUUGAUUAAUUACUAUGUAGUUGCUGCAAAAGACCUUUUCUGACAGUACUUAUUGCAUCAAUACUUGCAUAAUUUUGUAGUAUUAAUCAAUCUCUAUCUCUUACCUCAGUUCUGUAAAUACAGAAUAUUUUUUAAAAUGUUUGUUAAAUACAAGCAAAGAAUGCGCAUUUAAAAUAUAAAGUGCUCUAUAACAGAACAGAGCUUAGAUAUAUAGCCCAUUCAUAGCGAAUCAUGGCAGAAAACACUUUUUAUGGGUAUCCAAAACUUUGCAAAGAACACAAUUUUAAUGGAUUGGUUUUUUUUCGUUGGUCAUCCGUAUUGGGUUAACUCUAGAAAUUUCUUCUUAUAUAUUUUGACAAGCAUUGGCUCAAAAGUUUUGCAGAUUCAUGAUUUAUGUCCAUACCAAAGGGAUGAUAAUUGAUGAUAAGUAUGUUAUCAUGAGAUCAGUAAACAUUAACUAAAGAUCCUUAAAUGGUUCUAGGGACACAAAAGUAGCUAUUAGGUGCUUACCAACCAAAUUAUCCAUGGGCAGGAAACAAAUCCCGCUCGCAUUGCUAGGUUUGGGAUUCUGUCUGUACUCAUUUUUAAAUGCUCAAAAAAGUGCUAGACAGUCAUUUAUGCAUACUACUUCUGUUUUUUUGGUUUAAUUGUUUUAGCAUAUGCUUCAAAGGAAACAAAAUGGCAUUAGAGCAUGGAGAAUAGUAUCUCUGGGGUUAAAAAUAUAUUUAAUGUUUGCUUAAAUUCCUAUUUAGAUUUAUUAGUUGCACCAGUAUUGUUGGAUGUAGGUUUAUGGUUAUCGGAUGUUCCUGCGGGCUGAACACCUUGGCAAACUGGAGGAUAGUUUUCAAGAACCAUAAAGCCUAGAAUGUGUUUUUAAUUGUUCUAAAUUAUGUUUUAUUUUAUCAGUACUUGAAGUUUAUGGCUAGAUGGGAGCAGAAAAAGUCUGUCGGUGGUAAGUUUUUUUUGGUUUGCUCAAGUUUGUUAGGAUCCAUUGUUAAUGCAUACAUAAAAGUAUGGCCAUUUCUAAUCUUGCAAAUGAUGUGUUGUUCAUAUUCUAGGAGGAAAAAAGAAGGAAGUGAAGGAGACUGGUUUAGGUCUCUCUUUUACUAAGGAUGAAAAUUUCAAAGAAUGGUACUUUGAGGUAUAUUUUGUUGCAAUGGUACAAUUGCUUUGUGAUUGUUGUACUACUUUAUCGAGAUCUUAGUAUUUUAUGAUUAUAUCAUACAUUUUGGCUUUUGUAAGUUGCUGUCAACGAUGAAAUGAUUGAGUACAAUGACAUUUCUAGCUAUUAUAUUCUGAGGCCAUGGGCAAUUUCAAGUGGGAGAUUAAGUCAUAUAAUAUUUAUACUCAUUGCAGUUUAAGUACUAAAUAGCAAGUGUUAAUUAAUUACAAGGAAAAAAAUGGUCAUGGAUGUCAUUCCUUAUUAUUUUUUUUCUUUCCCUUCCCUUUAACUUAUCUAUGAUGUUAAAUUGCACACAUUCUUUGAUGUGGAAAUCAAGAACUACCUCUCUUUGUAUCUCCAAGUGUUUUGCAAAAAGAGAAAGAUCACAUUGAGGGUUUUGCUCCAGAGAUGAGAACUAAGGUUUUGGGCACAAUUGGCCUUGUGGAAUGUGCUUCAGCUUGGAAUUGUUAAUUUAUAUUUUUACGAAAUUUCUUGAAGCCAUUUGAAUCUCAUUUUGUCCCUAAAGAAGCAAGAUUAUUCACCAAGAAGCAGUAAACUUUUAAUUCAUAUCAUUCUUUGGUCUCAGAGAUUUGUCACUAAGAAAGAUCUGCCUUGAUGUGUCAAUAAAGUUGGUAACAAAAUUUUCACUAAUUUUCCAAUAAGCAUUCAUCUUUUUUAUUCUUGCCUUUUAAACAAUAUAUAAAUUAACACAAUUUGUUUAACUAUUUAUACAUUACUGUAUAUUAUUUUUAUCAUAACAAAGUCUGUUUAACUAUUUAUCCAUUACUGCGUAUUAUUUUUACCAUAACAUAAUCAAUCUUUUUACAUUCGCAUCAUAACAAAUACAUCAUUUUAUUUAUUUUUCUUUAACUAAUUUAUAACAAUAAUAAUCUUAAAAAUUAUUAAAAUUAAUAAACAAUUCUUGAUUCUACUAAUUUAAAUUUUUUAUACAAAACUUUUAACAUCAAUUGUUCAUAAAAUUUACAAACUUGUCGCGUAGAGUCGGUAUUUUUUUAGUUUUAUAAAUUAAAAUAAAAAAUUACAAAAGUAGUAUGUUAUAACGAUUAAAUACCUUUAAUUAUAAUUAUUCUCAAUCAUAAUUUCUUAUUGCAAUGAAUACCAAAUUGAAUUUUGGUUCAAGAAAGAUAAGAUGCAUUUUGAGUAGAAAUUUUAAAUUCAAAUCAUAGAGUUCAUCACGUGAAAAAGAAAAAAAAAAUUUUUUGAAUAAUUUUGAGAGAAAAUGACGUCGUUUAUUGUUAGUCACUUGAAAUGAGUGAAAUGACGUCGUUCCUUCUUAAUGCUUAUUUCCCUCCUGCCACACGGUGUCGUUUUACUAAGUGAUAAAAUCAUCCCUUGAAACCCUGGCCUGUUUCUUUUUCUUCCUCGUCUGGCUAGGACUCUAACCGAGCCGCACCACCUCUCUUCCACGAUGGUUCCUGGGUUUCUCUCCCGGCCUUCCUUUUCACUUGCCUUAGCUUGUUUUAGACGCCAACCAAACGAAAUAGCGUCUUUUCAACGCCAAAUUGCCCAACACUAUAAAAACCGUUCCCUUUACUCACAAAAUCUUAGAUCUCAGAUUUCAGAUAUCAAAUCUCAGAUCGUUUCUUACUCUCUUUGAAGAAAUUGUGUUGCGAUGGCUGAUUUUCGUCUCCAAGGUCUUUGUCAAUCUCAAUUCACAGAGAUUGCUGCUGAAAGAGCUAAAGUAGCUGCAGAGGAAUAUUUCAAGUCGGGAAACAUCGACAGAGCUAUUCAGCAAGGGUUCGCAGCACUCGAUUUGAACCCCAAUUUACGGAUCGUGCAGAAGUACAUUGCCGCCUAUUUGAUUCACAAGUUUGCUUCUAUGUUAAGUCUUUGCCAGAAAAUGAAGGUAGACGAUACCAAAGUUCUGUACUCCAUUCUUUUUAUCGAAGAUUGUUCUGCCGUAGUUGAUGCUGCGACUAUUAGAAAACACUACAAAGAAGUGGUACUAUUGGUCCAUCCGGACAAGAAUGAUUCAGUUGCAGCAGAUGGUGCUUUCAAGAUCGUUCGUCAGGCUUGGGAAACUCUCUUAUCUGAUCACAACAAAAGAAGAAAGACUCGAUGAGGAUGAAGUUUUUUGGUUUGGAUUAGAUUCAUUUUGAUAUGUAUUCAAAUUUUUUAUGAAUAAUAUGUAGUUAUUUUUUAUUUUGUUCUGAUUUGGUUACUUUUUUGAGAUUCAAUUUGAUUUUGAUUUUUAGUGUCAGUCCAAUUUCAUAAUUGAUCACAAUUAUGAUUAAGCAUUCCAAGUUAAAAUGCUACCAUCAUCAAUCCAUAAUAUAAUAUACAGAGUAAAUUGAAGCAAAUUAUUUGAAGAAUAUUCUGAUGUGGGUUUUUUAGGCAAUGAACGUUUUCUUUAAGCUUUCAGAUUUUAUUUUGUUAAAAUAAAUUUCUUUGUGUUAUAUAUUUUGUAAGUCUUUUUCGUUAGCUUGAAAUUGAAUUCUGGGUUCAAGAGGUUAUUGUAUUAAGUAACUAUGUGUUUUGCUUGCUUCAGUGUUUGUAUCGGUGCUGCAGUUAUUCACUUUCCUUCUGAUUUGAUACAAUCAAACUAAAAAAAAGAAGGAAAAAAAUUUUUUUUCACAAAAGUUACUAUAAUAUUUUUCUUUUUAUGGGUGAUAGUUUGUUGAUUAUUCAUUAUUUCAGUGUCAAUUCUUUAUUUUUGGCUUAAGUUAAACAGGCAUUGAAAAACCAAUACUUGCUUGCAAAAGAAGAACCAUAUCAGUUCUACGUGCCUUUUGAUUCUUCAAUUGUUAUCAAAUGCUUGCUCAUGUUGUCCAGAUGUUCCCCAAUGAUGUUUACUUGGGCGAUAUCAUUGAUGCUGCAAAGUCUUUUAGGUUUGUUAUUCGGUUUUUCUCACUUAGAGGUUGAAUCACAAUUUAUCAUAUGUUUAUUUUUGCAUAAGUGUGCAUGUGUAGUAGUAUAAGGCUGUUAAAGGGAAUAUAAUUUGUCAGUUUUUAUACAUAGCAAACCCUCAGUGUGAUUUCUUGGAAAAGCAGAAGUCCAAUAAUGGACUAUACACGUUCCUCUUUUAUCAUUACUCAUAUCUUAGCCUAAAUUACUCUUGUUGUUUCUGUGCUAAAAGCAAUGCUGCUAAUAUCUAGUUCUGGCCAACUUUUGCUGAGCUGUUUGCAAUAAUUGUUGUAUACACAUUUAUGUAAAGGUACAUUUUUUCUUGGGCCUUAAUUCACUUACCAUGUAGUUCUCUCCUGAAUCAUGUUUCUGUCCCAUUUAUAAAUGUUAGGCUAUGAUUUGAAUUGCCUUGUUAAGGAAGCAUUAUCUAUUGAAAUGUUGCUGGCAGCUAUCCUCUAACUUAAGGGUGCAGGAGACACGGUCUUCAUUGGAGUGGUUUGUGGGAAAAGUACAAGACAUGAUUAUCUAAAUACUUUGAGACGAUCUAUAGUGAAGAGUACAAAUGAAUCAAGGUGAGAGGUUUAAAGAAGCUGAUCAGUUUUGCACUUCAUUGCCUUUGUCAUAUAAAAGUUUUAAUCUCUAUUCACCCACCAAAAAGGAGGAAUAGGAAAGAAAAUUGCAAAAGUGGAAGCUUUUUUACAUUUGCAUAAUGCCUGAUGCAGGCAUACGUUUAAGUACUUAGAGAGAGAUGAGACAAUGGUAGCUCACUUGGUGGGGGAAUUGAUGCAUUCAUAAAGCUGUCUCAAAGUUAGCUGCUAUCAAAAUCUCUAUUCAAUGUUGUAUAUACUUUCUAAAAUUUGAAGUCUAUGUUCCAAAUUCUGAGGAAAUCAUUGGUAGAGAUAUCACCGGGAUCGGAUCCUGGUACAAUAUACAUCUCAACACCUGUGGAGAAAUGUUAGUUAUGUUUCUGUUAGUAGCUUUUGUACUAGUGUAAUUUUCAUUACAUAAAUCAGUCAUGUAGGGUGCCUAGUGAUUUGAUUAUGAUAAUUGAUUUCCACGGUAAGAUGUACAAGUUUGGGUACUCCAGGACCAGAUCUCCAUUGCAGUGAUGUGCAAAGUUCAAGGAAAACUUUGUCAAGGGUCAUAAAUAUUGUGAAAGGGUUAACUCUAGCAUUUGUUUUUAAUUUACACUAGAUCUUCUGUCUGCUCGUGAGUAACGGGUUUUGCUUGUUUUCAUGACUUUUUCUUUAAAUUUAUCAUCACUAUUCACCAUGAUAUAUAUGAAUGAUAAUUAAAGAUAUAUUAAAAGAUAAUGACAAGAAAAUAUUGAGUUGUUCAGCUUUAAUUAUUUGGCACAGGCAAUGAGUCAAUGAGGGCAAAUGCUAUUGGCAGUUGUGUUGUGCUCAACCAUGGAGGAGGUUGCGCGGUAGACAAGAUGCUCAUGGAGUUUGCUUCACUGUCAAUAAUCCCUAUGAUACUUCUAUUUGUUGUUAUCCUCGUUAAUUCAUUUUUAAUUUUAUUAUUAUUUAUCUUUUUAAAAAUUGAUUUUACUAGAAUUCUGAUCAAUUUUGCUUUUCUAAUUUAAGUACUGUCUUUUAUGGUUUCUUUAUGCCUUGUAUAUUGGUGCACAGUAUGAUGCAUUUAACUUGAUAUACAUAAGAUGCACAAUAUGAUACAUUUAAUUUGAUAUUGCAUUACAGGUACAAGACUUUAGGCAGCAGGGAACUAAGAUGAGAAGAAAGAUGUGGCUUCAGAAUAUGAAGAUAAAAUUGAUUGUUUUGGGUAUCCUUAUUGCCCUGAUUCUUAUCAUUGUGCUGUCAGUCUGCCAUGGCUUCAAAUGUUAAUCUGUCUUGGAUUUCCCUUGUACCGCUCUUGCUGCCUGGGUUGUCUUGAUAGAUUGGUUUGUCUUACUUGUUUUUUUAGGGCAUAUAUUUCUCCCUUUGCUAGCCGUUUAGGAUAGGGGGAGGCUUUGUAUCUUGGUUGGCUGUAUAGGUUAUAGUUUGAACUUGUUACGGUAGAUAAAAAAUUUCUAUGGAGGAUUUCUUCUUUAUAUUGUAAUGGGGGAAUACUCGGAUGCCUGCAUAUCAUAUUUGUCCUUUUGAAAUGUUAUUAAUCUGUUUUUUUGUUUUUCUCGCUUAUCAUGUAAAUCCUUUUAUAUGCAUUUCUCUUUUAGAGGUAAGAGGACAAGGUUGGUUCUGUAAAAAUUUUUAAUGCUUAGGAGACUACGGUUGCAUGAGUAGCUCAGUGUCUUCGCCUUCCGCAGGGAAGGUCUUUAGCUCUAAUGAUUAAAGCGAUGUGUAUGAUUGAUUUUCUCCCACUACCUUUGAAGUCUUGUUUUGAGGAUCUAUUCUUUCUACGGAGAGAAAUUUGGGGAAUAAGUAAGGGAUGUUGACGAAUGGUUGUUUUGUCAAAAAAAAAAAAAAAUGGUUUGUUAAAACACUAGUUUGACAACGAAACAAAUUGAAUUUUAUUUGGUAGUCGGUUCGAUUUUUCUUUAUUAAAAUCAAAGGCGUUAGUAUAUUUUUGCUUGAAAACGAUUUAAUUUGAGUUUUUAAUCGUAAAUCGAGUUUGAGUAAUGGAAACUAAUGUCCACAAGAAUAUAUUAUAAUAUAUGAAAAAUUGUAGCUAUGAUGUGAAGCAAAAGUACUAUUGUGCUCAUGAUUUUGUAUAUAAUAUGUUGAGAUUAGGUCCUACUAUUAGAAAAAUUAAAAUUUAAUUCAAAUUUUAACAUCUUGAAAUUCGUUCAAUAUUAAAUACUUAAAAACUUAAUGCCCGCUGUUAACUGAAUCAUCUUUGUAUCAUUAUCCUCUCUAAUCUUUUUUUUUUUGCUUAAAAUAUAUAUAUAUAUUAUAUAACAAAAGAUUUUUAAUAGUUGGUAUUUUAUGAAUGAAAACAAAAGACUACAAAGUAGUCUGUUAUAACAAUUAAAUACCUUUAAUUAUAAUUAUUCUCUAUCAUAGUUUCUUAUUGCAAUUAAUACCAAAUUGAAUUUUGAUUCAAGUAAGAAAGAUAAGAUGCGUUUUGAGUAGAAAUUUUAAAUUCAAAUUAUAGAGUUCAUCACGAGAAAGAGAAACAAUAAAAUUUCGUAUAAUUUACAAAAAAAAUGACGUCGUUUAUUAUUAAUCACUUGAAAUGAAUGGCAUGACGACGUUUCCUUCUUAAUGCUUAUUUCUCUCCCCUCACACGGUGUCGUUUUACCAAGCAAUAAAAGCAUCCCGUGAAACCCUGGCCUGUUUCUUUUUCUUCCUCGUCUGGCUAGGACUCUAACCGAGCCGCACCACCUCUCUCCCACGAUGGUUCCUGGGUUUCUCUCUCGACCGUCCUUUUCACUUGCCUUAGCUUGUUUUAGACGCCAACCAAACGAAAUAGCGUCUUUUCAACGCCAAAUUGCCCAACACUAUAAAAACCGUUCCCUUUACUCACAAAAUCUUAGAUCUCAGAUUUCAGAUAUCAAAUCUCGGAUCGUUUCUUACUCUCUUUGAAGAAAUUGUGUUGCGAUGGCUGAUUUUCGUCUUCAAGGUAUUUGUCAAUCUCAAUUCACAGAGAUUGCUGCUGAAAGAGCUAAAGUAGCUGCAGAGGAAUAUUUCAAGUCGGGAAACAUCGACAGGGCUAUUCAGCAAGGGUUCGCAGCACUCGAUUUGAACCCCAAUUUACGGAUCGUGCAGAAGUACAUUGCCGCCUAUUUGAUUCACAAGUUUGCUUCUAUGUUAAGUCUUUGCCAGAAAAUGAAGGUAGACGAUACCAAAGUUCUGUACUCCAUUCUUUUUAUCGAAGAUUGUUCUGCCGUAGUUGAUGCUGCGACUAUUAGAAAACACUACAAGGAAGUGGUACUAUUGGUCCAUCCGGACAAGAAUGAUUCAGUUGCAGCAGAUGGUGCUUUCAAGAUCGUUCGUCAGGCUUGGGAAACUCUCUUAUCUGAUCACAACAAAAGAAGAAAGACUCGAUGAAGAUGAAGUUUUUUGGUUUGGAUUAGAUUCAUUUUGAAUGUAUUCAAAUUUUUUUAUGAAUAAUAUGUAGUUAGUUUUUAUUUUGUUCUGAUUUUGUUACUUUUUUUAGAUUCAAUUUGAUUUUGAUUUUUAGUGUCAGUCCAAUUUCAUAAUUGAUCACAAUUAUGAUUAAGCAUUCCAAGUUAAAAUGCUACCAUCAUCAAUCCAUAAUAUAAUAUACAGAGUAAAUUGAAGCAAAUUAUUUGAAGAAUAUUCUGAUGUGGGUUUUUUAGGCAAUGAACGUUUUCUUUAAGCUUUCAGAUUUUAUUUUGUUAAAAUAAAUUGCUUUGUGUUAUAUAUUUUGUAAGUCUUUUUCGUUUGUUUUAAAUUGAAUUCUGAGUUCAAGAGGUUAUUGUAUUAAGAAACUAUGUGUUUUGCUUGCUUCAGUGUUUGUAUCGGUGCUGCAGUUAUUCACUUUCUUUCUGAUUUGAUACAAUCAAACUAAAAAAAAGAAGGAAAAAAAUUUUUUUUCACAAAAGUUACUAUAAUAUAUUUCUUUUUAUGGGUGAUAGUUUGUUGAUUAUUCGUUAUUUCAAUAUCAAUUCUUUAGUUUUGGCUCAAGUUAAACAGGCAUUGAAAAACCAAUACUUGCUUGCAAAAGAAGAUCCAUAUCGGUUCUACGUGUCUUUUGAUUCUUCAAUUGUUAUCAAAUGCUUGCUCAUGUUGUCCAGAUGUUCCCAAAUGAUGUUUACUUGGGCGAUAUCAUUGAUGCUGCAAAGUCUUUCAGGUUUGUUAUUCGGUUUUUCUCACUUAGAGGUUGAAUCACAAUUUAUCAUAUGUUUAUUUUUGCACAAAUGUGCAUGUGUAGUGUGAUUUCUUGGAAAAGCAGAAGUCCAAUAAUGGACUAUACACGUUCCUCUUUUAUCAUUACUCAUAUCUUAGCCUAAAUUACUCUUGUUGUUUCUGUGCUAAAAGUAAUGCCGCUAAUAUCUAGUUCUGGCCAACUUUUGCUGAGCUGUUUGCAAUAAUUGUUGUAUACACAUUUAUGUAAAGGUACAUUUUUUCUUGGGCCUUAAUUCACUUACCAUGUAGUUCUCUCCUGAAUCAUGUUUUUGUCCCAUUUAUAAAUGUUAGGCUAUGAUUUGAAUUGCCUUGUUAAGGAGGCAUUAUCUAUUGAAAUGUUGCUGGCAGCUAUCCUCUAACUUAAGGGUGCAGGAGACACGGUCUUCAUUGGAGUGGUUUGUGGGAAAAGUACAAGACAUGAUUACCUAAAUACUUUGAGACGAUCUAUAGUGAAGAGUACAAAUAAAUCAAGGUGAUAGGUUUAAAGAAGCUGAUCAGUUUUGCACUUCAUUGCCUUUGUCAUAUAAAAGUUUUAAUCUCUAUUCACCCACCAAAAAGGAGGAAUAGGAAAGAAAAUUGCAAAAGUGGAAGCUUUUUUACAUUUGCAUAAUGCCUGAUGCACGCAUAUGUUUAAGCACUUAGAGAGAGAUGAGACAAUGGAAGCUCACUUGGUGGGGGAAUUGAUGCAUUCAUAAAGCUGUCUCAAAGUUAGCUGCUAUUAAAAUCUCUAUUCAAUGUUCUAUAUACUUACUAAAAUUUGAAGUCUAUGUUCCAAAUUCUGAGGAAAUCAUUGGUAGAGAUAUCACCUGGAUCGGAUCCUGGUACAAAUACAUCUCAACACCUGUGGAGAAAUGUUAGUUAUGUUUCUGUUAGUAGCUUUUGUACUAGUGUAAUUUUCAUUACAUAAAUCAGUCAUGUAGGGUGCCUAGUGAUUUGAUUAUGAUAAUUGAUUUCCACGGUAAGAUGUACAAGUUUGGGUACUCCAGGACCAGAUCUCCAUUGCAGUGAUGUGCAAAGUACAAGGAAAACUUUGUCAAGGGUCAUAAAUAUUGUGAAAGGGUUAACUCUAGCAUUUGUUUUUAAUUUACACUAGAUCUUCUGUCUGCUCGUGAGUAACGGGUUUUGCUUGUUUUCAUGACUUUUUCUUUAAAUUUAUCAUCACUAUUCACCAUGAUAUAUAUGAAUGAUAAUUAAAGAUAUAUUAAAAGAUAAUGACAAGAAAAUAUUGAGUUGUUCAGCUUUAAUUAUUUGGCACAGGCAAUGAGGGCAAAUGCUAUUGGCAGUUGUGUUGUGCUCAACCAUGGAGGAGGCUGCGCGGUAGACAAGAUGCUCAUGGAUUUUGCUACACCAUCAAUGCACCCAAUGAUACUUGCAUUUGUCGUCACCCUUGUUAAUUCAUUUUUAAUUUUAUUAUUAUUUAUCUUUUUAAAAAUUGAUUUUACUAGAAUUCUGAUCAAUUUUGCUUUUCUAAUUUAAAUACUGUCUUUUAUGGUUUCUUUAUGCCUUGUAUAUUGGUGCACAGUAUGAUGCAUUUAACUUGAUAUACAUAAGAUGCAGAAUAUGAUACAUUUAAUUUGAUAUUGCAUUACAGGUAGAAGACUUUAGGCAGCAGGGAACUAAGAUGAGAAGAAAGAUGUGGCUUCAGAAUAUGAAGAUAAAAUUGAUUGUUUUGGGUAUCCUUAUUGCCCUGAUUCUUAUCAUUGUGCUGUCAGUCUGCCACGGCUUCAAAUGUUAAUCUGUCUUGGAUUUCCCUUGUACCGCUCUUGCUGCCUGGGUUGUCUUGAUAGAUUGGUUUGUCUUACUUGUUUUUUUAGGGCAUAUAUUUCUCCCUUUGCUAGCCUUUUAGGAUAGGGGGAGGCUUUGUAUCUUGGUUGGCUGUAUAGGUUAUAGUUUGAACUUGUUACGGUAGAUAAAAAUUUCUAUGGAGGAUUUCUUCUUUAUAUUGUGAUGGGGGUAUACUCGGAUGCCUGCGUAUCAUAUUUGUCCUUUUGAAAUGUUAUUAAUCUGUUUUUUUUGUUUUUCUCGCUUAUCAUGUAAAUCCUUUUGUAUGCCUUUCUCUUUUAGACGUAAGAGGACACAGUUGGUUUUGUAAAAUUUUUUAAUGCUUAGGAGCCUAUGGUUGCAUGAGUAGCUCGGUGUCUUUGCCUUCCGCAGGGAAGGUCUUUAGCUCCAAUGAUUAGAGCGAUGUGUAUGAUUGAUUUUCCCCCACUCCCCUUGAAGUCUUGUUGAUGAAGAAUUGUUUUGUCAAAAAAUAAAAAAAUGAUUUGUUAAAAAACUAGUUUGACUACGAAACAAAUCGAAUUGUAUUUGGCAGUUGGUUCCUUUUCGAUUUUACAUUAUUCAAAUCAAAGGAGUUAGCAUAUUUUCACUUGAAAACGACCUAAUUUGAGUUUUUAAUUGUAAAUCGAAUUUGAGAAAUGAAAACUAAUAUCCCAAAGAACAGAUUAUAAUCUAUGAAAAAUUGUAACAAUGAUGUGAAGCAGAAGCACUACUGUUCUCAUGGUUUUGUACAUAAUAUGCUGAGAUUAGAUCUCACUAUUGAAAAAAUUAAUGCCUAACUCAAAUUUUAACAUUUUGAAAUUCUUUCAAUAUAAAAUACCUAAAAGUUUAAUGCCCGUUGUUGGCUGGAUCGUCCUUGUCCCAUUAUCCUCUCUAACCCACCCUUUUAAGUACUUAAUAUAUAUAUAUAUUAAUGAAAAUAAAAGACUACAAAAGUAGUCUGUUAUAACAAUUAAAUACCUUUAAUUAUAAUUAUUCUCAAUCAUAAUUUCUUAUUGCAGUCAAUACCAAAUUGAAUUUUGGUUCAAGUAAGAAAGAUAAGAUGCAUUUUGAGUAGAAAUUUUAAAUUCAAAUCAUAGAGUUCAUCACGUGAAAAAGAAAAAAAAAAUUUUUUGAAUAAUUUUGAGAGAAAAUGACGUCGUUUGUUGUUAGUCACUUGAAAUGAGUGAAAUGACGUCGUUUCCUUCUUAAUGCUUAUUUCUCUCCUGCCACACGGUGUCGUUUUACCAAGCAAUAAAUGCAUCCCGUGAAACCCUGGCCUGUUUCUUUUUCUUCCUUGUCUGGCUAGGACUCUAACCGAGCCGCACCACCUCUCUCCCACGAUGGUUCCUGGGUUUCUCUCCCGACCGUCCUUUUCACUUGCCUUAGCUUGUUUUAGACGCCAACCAAACCAAAUAGCGUCUUUUCAACGCCAAAUUGCCCAACACUAUAAAAACCGUUCCCUUUACUCACAAAAUCUUAGAUCUCAGAUUUCAGAUAUCAAAUCUCGGAUCGUUUCUUACUCUCUUUGAAGAAAUUGUGUUGCGAUGGCUGAUUUUCGUCUUCAAGGUAUUUGUCAAUCUCAAUUCACAGAGAUUGCUGCUGAAAGAGCUAAAGUAGCUGCAGAGGAAUAUUUCAAGUCGGGAAACAUCGACAGGGCUAUUCAGCAAGGGUUCGCAGCACUCGAUUUGAACCCCAAUUUACGGAUCGUGCAGGAGUACAUUGCCGCCUAUUUGAUUCACAAGUUUGCUUCUAUGUUAAGUCUUUGCCAGAAAAUGAAGGUAGACGAUACCAAAGUUCUGUACUCCAUUCUUUUUAUCGAAGAUUGUUCCGCCGUAGUUGAUGCUGCCACUAUUAGAAAACACUACAAAGAAGUGGUACUAUUGGUCCAUCCGGACAAGAAUGAUUCAGUUGCAGCAGAUGGUGCUUUCAAGAUCGUUCGUCAGGCUUGGGAAACUCUCUUCUCUGAUCACAACAAAAGAAGAAAGACCCGUUGAAGAU